GACGAACGCUGGCGGCGUGCUUAACACAUGCAAGUCGAACGAAGAGCGAUGGAAGCUUGCUUCUAUCAAUCUUAGUGGCGAACGGGUGAGUAACGCGUAAUCAACCUGCCCUUCAGAGGGGGACAACAGUUGGAAACGACUGCUAAUACCGCAUACGAUCUAACCUCGGCAUCGAGGAUGGAUGAAAGGUGGCCUCUAUUUAUAAGCUAUCACUGAAGGAGGGGAUUGCGUCUGAUUAGCUAGUUGGAGGGGUAACGGCCCACCAAGGCGAUGAUCAGUAGCCGGUCUGAGAGGAUGAACGGCCACAUUGGGACUGAGACACGGCCCAGACUCCUACGGGAGGCAGCAGUGGGGAAUCUUCCGCAAUGGACGAAAGUCUGACGGAGCAACGCCGCGUGAGUGAUGACGGCCUUCGGGUUGUAAAGCUCUGUUGAUCGGGACGAAAGGCCUUCUUGCGAAUAGUUAGAAGGAUUGACGGUACCGGAAUAGAAAGCCACGGCUAACUACGUG
rnacentral:rRNA from 1 species